rnacentral:tRNA from 4 species
CAGAGGAUAAUUUAAUAUUAAGAUACUAGCUUUGGGAGCUAGAUACAGGGGUUUUAAUCCCCUUCCUUUGA